GCUUAGGUCUAAAGCUUCUUCCUUCCUUUAUAGAGACCCAAUUUGCUGCCUUUAUCCUCCAUGAUUUGUUUCCAUAAACAGGCUACCGUACAGAGGUCAACAGCGGGAGUCUGGCAUCCUGAAAUCGGGCACAUGAUUAUCAUUUAAUGUGCUGCGGCUUUUUUAUUUUUUUCUCAUUCGGGGAUAAAAUAAACCUCACUUGGAGGUUCUCUUAUUAUGAAAAUAGAAGUAGGACCUCAAAGACAGAAAAAAGAUCAACACCAACCUACUACAUUCUGCCAAACCACCUGUGUUUAUGUGCUCCACCUAGGAAGCAGGAAUUACAUCUGAGCAGUGAGUAGCUCAUUGCAGGGUCUGAAGAAUCAAAUCUUG
rnacentral:lncRNA from 1 species